UGGUGCUAAUGAUGGGGGCUGCCUGCAGCCAGGGCUACAUCCCCACCUCGGUCUGGACUGAGAAGCCUCCAGACCAGAAGCCAGUUGCCCGAAGUUCUAGGGACAACUCCAUUAUCACCCAGUGUGAUUUUGAGGACAACUCCAAACCCUUCUGUGACUGGACUCAAAUAUCC